UGCGUAGACGGGAAGGUAAGUUAGUUGUGAAAUCCCUCGGCUCAACUGAGGAACUGCGACUAAAACUGCUUUUCUUGAGUGCUGGAGAGGAAAGGGGAAUUCCCAGUGUAGCGGUGAAAUGCGUAGAUAUUGGGAGGAACACCAGUGGCGAAGGCGCCUUUCUGGACUGUGUCUGACGCUGAGAUGCGAAAGCCAGGGUAGCAACG
rnacentral:rRNA from 1 species